ACGCUGGCGGCGUGCUUAACACAUGCAAGUCGAACGAUGAAGCCUAGCUUGCUAGGUGGAUUAGUGGCGAACGGGUGAGUAAUACGUGAGUAACCUACCUUUAACUCUGGGAUAAGCCUGGGAAACUGGGUCUAAUACCGGAUACGACCAAUCUCCGCAUGGGGUGUUGGUGGAAAGCGUUAUGUAGUGGUUAUAGAUGGGCUCACGGCCUAUCAGCUUGUUGGUGAGGUAACGGCUCACCAAGGCGACGACGGGUAGCCGGCCUGAGAGGGUGACCGGCCACACUGGGACUGAGACACGGCCCAGACUCCUACGGGAGGCAGCAGUGGGGAAUAUUGCACAAUGGGCGCAAGCCUGAUGCAGCGACGCCGCGUGAGGGAUGACGGCCUUCGGGUUGUAAACCUCUGUUAGCAGGGAAGAAGAGAGAUUGACGGUACCUGCAGAGAAAGCGCCGGCUAACUACGUGCCAGCAGCCGCGGUAAUACGUAGGGCGCGAGCGUUGUCCGGAAUUAUUGGGCGUAAAGAGCUUGUAGGCGGUUUGUCGCGUCUGCUGUGAAAGGCCGGAGCUUAACUCCGUGUAUUGCAGUGGGUACGGGCAGACUAGAGUGCAGUAGGGGAGACUGGAAUUCCUGGUGUAGCGGUGGAAUGCGCAGAUAUCAGGAGGAACACCGAUGGCGAAGGCAGGUCUCUGGGCUGUAACUGACGCUGAGAAGCGAAAGCAUGGGGAGCGAACAGGAUUAGAUACCCUGGUAGUCCAUGCCGUAAACGUUGGGCACUAGGUGUGGGGAACAUUCCACGUUCUCCGCGCCGUAGCUAACGCAUUAAGUGCCCCGCCUGGGGAGUACGGCCGCAAGGCUAAAACUCAAAGAAAUUGACGGGGGCCCGCACAAGCGGCGGAGCA
rnacentral:rRNA from 1 species